UCUUCAUUUCUCUUGCUGUCUCACUGGUAAGAGAGGCGAGAAAGUGUGGGAUAUGAAGAGA
rnacentral:pre_miRNA from 1 species